AUACUUCGGUUCAUGAGCAUGACGACUGAGUGUUCAUGCCUUACAUACUAGAUGUGCCUCACUCAAAACUUGUUCCUACGUGGGCACAUUACCCAUCUAAUG